AUUGAACGCUGGCGGCAGGCUUAACACAUGCAAGUCGAGCGGAGAUGAGGUGCUUGCACCUUAUCUUAGCGGCGGACGGGUGAGUAAUGCUUAGGAAUCUGCCUAUUAGUGGGGGACAACAUUCCGAAAGGAAUGCUAAUACCGCAUACGCCCUACGGGGGAAAGCAGGGGAUCUUCGGACCUUGCGCUAAUAGAUGAGCCUAAGUCGGAUUAGCUAGUUGGUGGGGUAAAGGCCUACCAAGGCGACGAUCUGUAGCGGGUCUGAGAGGAUGAUCCGCCACACUGGGACGGAGACACGGCCCAGACUCGUACGGGAGGCAGCAGUGGGGAAUAUUGGACAAUGGGCGGAAGCCUGAUCCAGCCAUGCCGCGUGUGUGAAGAAGGCCUUUUGGUUGUAAAGCACUUUAAGCGAGGAGGAGGCUACCUGGAUUAAUACUCUAGGAUAGUGGACGUUACUCGCAGAAUAAGCACCGGCUAACUCUGAGCCAGCAGCCGCAGUAAAAC
rnacentral:rRNA from 1 species